rnacentral:rRNA from 1 species
AACGAACGCUGGCGGCAGGCUUAACACAUGCAAGUCGAACGGGCGUAGCAAUACGUCAGUGGCAGACGGGUGAGUAACACGUGGGAACCUUCCUAGGGGUACGGAACAACUCAGGGAAACUUGAGCUAAUACCGUAUACGUCCGUGAGGAGAAAGAUUUAUCGCCCUUAGACGGGCCCGCGUCGGAUUAGCUAGUUGGUGGGGUAACGGCCUACCAAGGCGACGAUCCGUAGCUGAUCUUAGAGGAUGAUCAGCCACACUGGGACUGAGACACGGCCCAGACUCCUACGGGAGGCAGCAGUGGGGAAUCUUGGACAAUGGGGGAAACCCUGAUCCAGCCAUGCCGCGUGAGUGAAGAAGGUCUUCGGAUUGUAAAGCUCUUUUACCAGGAACGAUAAUGACGGUACCUGGAGAAUAAGCCCCGGCAAACUUCGUGCCAGCCGCCGCCGUAACAC